GGCACCAGUACAGCUGAUACUCAAAGUUCAGAUCAGAAGAGGAGGCUUCUCACCCUGCAGCAGGGACCUGUGAGCAUGGCAUGCCCUGGCUUCCUGUGGGCACUUGUGAUCUCCACCUGUCUUGAAUUUAGCAUGGCUCAGACAGUCACUCAGUCUCAACCAGAGAUGUCUGUGCAGGAGGCAGAGACCGUGACCCUGAGCUGCACAUAUGACACCAGUGAGAGUGAUUAUUAUUUAUUCUGGUAUAAGCAGCCUCCCAGCAGGCAGAUGAUUCUCGUUAUUCGCCAAGAAGCUUAUAAGCAACAGAAUGCAACGGAGAAUCGUUUCUCUGUGAACUUCCAGAAAGCAGCCAAAUCCUUCAGUCUCAAGAUCUCAGACUCACAGCUGGGGGACGCCGCGAUGUAUUUCUGUGCUUAUAGGAGCACACAGUGAGACAAGCAACAGGGAGAGGCUUACAGAAACCUCAGACCUCAGCAUCUGUGCAAAGGUCAAGGGGAAGUAUUCAGGGUUAUGGGAAUAUAAAGAGGAAAUAAUUGUCUUCCCUAAAAAAAAAAAUGUAUCUGACUAUAGGAAACACAGAGGGGAUGUCUAUAAGCUGUAAUUUUUGAAAUAGUUGUAAAAUAAUGAAUCCACACAUGCUUUAUAGAUUUUCAAGGUAACUUCACGUGUUAAUUCAUUAAACCUGCACAAGCCUGUGUGUUGUAUAGGUCAGAUCAGAUAUUCUAAGCAUCACUACUAUCCAGAGACUCUUAGAGCUUGACCUAAAGCUAUAUUCUUUUAGAAUUAUAUAUUUUUGCUUUAUUAUUUUAAUUACUAUCUAUCUGUACAUCCCAUGAUCAUAUCAAAGUCAAUAUGUCCAAAACUGAAUUUCUUACCAUCUCCACAAACCUUAAUUUUUUCUUCAUUCUUUUCUCCUCAGCCUUGCUCAAGAUUCAGGAACACAAUAAAAGUUUGCUAU